rnacentral:rRNA from 1 species
CAUGCAAGUCGAACGGUAACAGCGGAGAUGAUCCUUUCGGGGUGAAUUUCCGGCUGACGAGUGGCGGACGGGUGAGUAAUGCAUAGGAAUCUGCCCUUUAGUGGGGGAUAACCCGGGGAAACCCGGGCUAAUACCGCAUAAGUCCUACGGGAGAAAGCGGGGGAUCUUCGGACCUCGCGCUGAAGGAUGAGCCUAUGUCUGAUUAGCUUGUUGGUGGGGUAAAAGCCUACCAAGGCGACGGUCAGUAGCUGGUCUGAGAGGACGGACAGCCACACUGGGACUGAGACACGGCCCAGACUCCUACGGGAGGCAGCAGUGGGGAAUAUUGGACAAUGGGCGCAAGCCUGAUCCAGCAAUGCCGCGUGUGUGAAGAAGGCCUGCGGGUCGUAAAGCACUUUCAGCGAGGAAGAAAAUCCAUGGGUUAAUACCCCGUGGCCUUGACGUUACUCGCACAAGAAUGCACCGGCUAACUUCGUGCCAGCAGCCGCGGUAAUACGGGGGGUGCAAGCGUUAAUCGGAAUUACUGGGCGUAAAGCGCACGUAGGCGGCUCGCUAAGUUGGAUGUGAAAGCCCUGGGCUUAACCUGGGAAUGGCAUUCAA